GGCUGAAGACGGACCGGAAGUGGGUCCGCCGAGUUUUCGGCUCGCGGCGCAUAGGGAAACGGUGGCUCUCUCUGCCGCGGUCCUUGGGUGCGGCUCCAGCCCGGCGCCGACGGGUCCCGAGACGGCGGGCGGCGGCGUCCCUGAGCCGGACGCUCAUUGUGAAGAGGAGGGGGAGCUCUGCAGAUGAAGAGACUGCUUGAGGACAGAGGCCUACUUUUGUACACAUGGUGUCGUUACUUUCCAAUAAUUGGAUCAGAAGAUGAAUCCAACUCAUCCUUUCAGUGGGCAGCAGCCUAGUGUUUUCCCAACAUCUCCCAGUAGUUCCAUAGGGACAUUUCAAGCCAAGCCAGCAUUUCAGUUUGGUCAGCCCUCUUUUUUUGGACAAAACAAUGCGUUAUCUGGGAAAAGCUCAGGAUUUUCACAGGUGUCCAGCUUUGCCGCAUCUUUUGGACAAAGUCAUUCUUCUUCAGCGCAGACAUUAGGAGUCUCCCAAACCUCAAAUGUUGGUCCCUUUUCUGGUCUGGAACACACUCCGGCCUUUGUAGCUACCUCUGGGCCUACAAGUUCAUGUGUGCCUGGAAACCCAGGGUUUAGUUUUAAAUCACCCAACCUUGGGACAUUCCCAAGUACUUCUACUUUUGGACCAGAAACUGGAGAAAUGGCAAGCUCUGGUUUUGGGAAAACAGAGUUUAGCUUUAAACCUCUGGAAAAUUCAGUGUUUAGGCCAAUAUCAGGCACUGAAUCUGAGCCAGAGAAAACUCAGAGCCAAAUUACUUCUGGAUUUUUUACAUUUUCCCACCCAGUCAGUAGUGGACCUGGGGGACUGGCCCCAUUUUCAUUUCCUCAGAUGACAAGUACUUCGGCCACCAAUUCAAAUUUUACCUUUUCAAAGCCAGGUAAUAAUAAUUUAUCAUCUGCCUUUACCCCUGCUUUGUCCAAUCAAAGUGUAGAGGAAGAGAAGAGAGGCCCUAAAUCACUAUUGGGAAGUUGUAGUAGCAGCUUCGCUAGCUUCCCCUUAUCUGCAGGGUCUUUGGGUGAACCCUUCCCAGGUAGCAAAACAGGUGUCAGACAGGGGUGUGAAGAAGCUGUUUCCCAAAUGGAACCGCUUCCCAGCCUCAUCAAAGGGCUGAAAAGGAAGGAGGACCAGGAUCGGUCCCCAAGGAGACACGGUCAUGAUGCAGCAGAAGAUCUGGACCCUCUGUCGAGGGGCGAUCAUCCUCCAGACAAACGGCCUGUCCGCUUGAAUCGACCCCGGGGGGGCACUUUGUUUGGCCGGACGAUACAGGAUGUCUUCAAAAGCAAUAAAGAAGCCAGUCGACUGGGCAACAAGGAAUCUAAAAAGGACGUCGGCUGUGCCGAGUCUGGGGAAAACGACCACGUGGCCAUCCCAGGAGGCAGUCAGUCUGUCCUGGUACCUUCCCGGCUUCCAGGUGUGAAUAAAGAGGAAGAAGCUGAAAGUAGAGAUAAAAAGGAAGAUUCUCUAAGAGGGACUCCUGGCCGUCAGAGUAAGAGAAGUGAGAGCACAGAGGGUUUGGGGGGCUUGUCUCCCACUGAACUCACAGCAAUUCAGUGCAAGAACAUCCCUGACUAUCUCAAUGACAGGACCAGCCUGGAGAAACACUUUGGCAAAAUUGCGAAAGUGCAGCGCAUCUACACCAGGCGCAACAAAAAGCUUGCCGUGGUGUAUUUUUUUGAUCAUGCCUCCGCAGCCCUGGCCCGGAAGAAGGGGAAGGGUCUGCACAAAGACAUGACCAUCUUCUGGCACAAGAAAAAAAUAAGUCCCAACAAGAAACCCUUUUCCCUCAAGGAGAAGAAGCCGGGGGAUGGCGAAGCUGGCCAGGGCGCCGAGGAGCCCCCCUUUCAGCACUCCCCCCUCGGCAAGCCCGUGGGGAGGGCUGUGGCCGGCAGCCUCCUGAGUAAAAGCUCUCCUGCGAAGAAGCCCAGUCUCCUGAAGGCCCAUCAGUUCGAGGGAGACCCUUUCGACUCGGGCUCCGAGGGCUCCGAGGGCUCCGAGGGUCUCGGGCCUUGUGUGCUGUCCCUCGGCGCCCUGAUGGGGACCGUGGCGGAGACGUCUGAGGACAAGUACCGCCUGCUGGACCAGAGGGACAGAGUCAUGCGACAAGCUCGGGUGAAAAGAACCGACCUGGACAAAGCAAGGACCUUCGUCGGGACGUGCCCGGAUAUGUGUCCCGAGAAGGAGCGGUACAUGCGGGAGACGCGGAGCCAGCUGAGCAUCUUUGAAGUGGUCCCGGGGACCGACCAGGUGGACCACGCGGCGGCCGUGAAGGAGUACAGCCGCUCCUCAGCCGACCAGGAGGAGCCCCUGCCGCACGAGCUGCGGCCCUCCGCAGUGCUCAGCAGGACCAUGGACUACCUGGUGACCCAGAUCAUGGACCAGAAGGAGGGCAGCCUGAGGGACUGGUACGACUUCUUGUGGAACCGCACGCGGGGCAUACGGAAGGACAUCACGCAGCAGCACCUGUGUGACCCGGUGACCGUGUCGCUGAUCGAGAAGUGCACGCGCUUUCACAUCCACUGUGCUCACUUCAUGUGCGAGGAGCCCAUGUCCUCCUUCGACGCCAACAUCAACAGCGAGAACAUGACCAGGUGCCUCCAGAGUCUGAAGGAGAUGUACCAGGACCUGCGGGUCAAGGGUGUGUUCUGCGCCGGCGAGGCCGAGUUCCAGGGCUACAACGUCCUGCUCCAUCUCAACAAGGGCGACAUCCUAAGAGAAGUGCAGCAGUUCCACCCUGCCGUUCGAAACUCUUCGGAGGUGAAGUUUGCUGUUCAGGCUUUUGCUGCAUUGAACAGUAAUAAUUUUGUGCGGUUUUUCAAGCUGGUCCAGUCAGCUUCUUACCUGAACGCUUGUCUCUUACACCGUUACUUUAAUCAGAUCCGCAGGGAUGCGCUCCGUGCGCUCAACGUGGCGUACACCGUGAGCCCGCAGCGGUCCACCGUCUUCCCCCUGGACAGCGUGGUGCGCAUGCUGCUCUUCCAGGACUGCGAGGAGGCCACCGACGUCCUCAGCUGCCAUGGCCUCACUGCUUCGGACGGCUGUGUGGAGCUGAACCGGUCCUCGUUCCUGGAGCCAGAGGGCUCCCCCAAGGCCCGGAAGUCAGUGUUUAUCACCAGGAAGCUGACCGUGUCGGUCGGGGAGGUUGUGAAUGGGGGGCCGUUGCCGCCCGUCCCUCGUCACACCCCCGUGUGCAGCUUCAACUCCCAGAACAAGUACGUCGGGGACAGCCUGGCGGCAGAGCUGCCCGCAGGCACGCAGAGACCCGGCGUGGACGCAGCGGGUGCAGCGAGAGGCGAGCAGAGCGCCGGCGCAGAGACCGACCCGCCCCUCGAGGCCCCGCCCAUCGCGGCCCCGCCCCUCGAGGCCCCGCCCCCGCAGCCUCCCGUCCCCGCGGGCGCCGCUGCGGCCUCGCUGCCCCAGCUCCAGGCUCUGACCCCCAGCGCGGUGCCCAGCCUGCUCCCGCCGCCCGUGCCGCCGGAGCUCCUGCCCCCGAAGCCGGCGCCUGUGUACUCGGACGCGGACCUGGCCCAGGUCGUGGACGAGCUCAUCCAGGAGGUGCUUCAGAGCGACUGCGAGGAGGUGGGCGCCGCCGGGGCCGCCUUCGCAGCCACAGCCCUGGGGGUUUCCCGUGCUGCUGUGGAGGAGCUGGUAGCAGCCACGACGACGGGCAUUCUGAGGCGCAUCGCGGCCGAAGAAGUGACCGAGGAGCGGGCGCGGAGGGAGGAGGCACGGCGGCGGACCGAGGAGGAGCGGCUGAAACAAGAGAGGGAACUGGUGCUGACGCAGCUGAGCCAGGGCCUGGCGGCCGAGCUGACGGAGCUCGUGGUGACAGAAUGCGUGCGGGACACCUGCUCCCGGGAGUUGCAGAGUGCGGUGGAGACAGACCAGAGGGUCCGCCUGACCCGUUGCUGUGAGGACGUCUGUGCCCACCUGGUGGACCUGUUUCUUGGGGAGGAAAUUUUCCAGACUGCGAAAGAGACCCUCCAGGAGCUUCAGCGCUUUUGCAAGUACCUCCAGCGGUGGAGGGAAGCUGUAGCAGCGCGGAAGAAACUCCGGCGCCAGAUGCGGGCUUUCCCUGCGGCCCCCUGCUGUGUGGACGUGACCGACCGGCUGAGGGCGCUGGCGCCCAGCGCAGAGUGCCCCAUUGCUGCGGAGAACCUGGCCAAGGGCCUCCUGGACCUGGGCCAUGCCGGGAGAGUGGGUAUCUCCUGCACCAGGUUGCGGCGGCUCAGGAACAGGACCGCGCACCAGAUGAAGGUCCAGCACUUCCACCAGCAGCUGCUGAGUGACGCAGCAUGGGCGCCCUUGGACCUGCCGUCCCUUGUGGCCGAGGACCUCCCUGGGAGGCGGGAGCGCGUGUUUUGGAAGCUGGUACUGGUGUUGCCCGAUGGAGAAGAGCGGUCCCCAGGGAGUCCCGGCAGAAUUCUAGCAAAUUGGUUAAAAGUCAAGUUCAUGGGAGACGAUGCCUCAGCGGAUGAGGUUGAUGGGAUUCAGACUCUCGCGCUGUUUAACACGCUCAGCAGCAAAGGGGAUCAGACAGUUUCUAUCAGUGUGUGCGUAAAGGUGGCUCACGGUGCUCUUAGCGACGGUGCCCUCGAUGCCGCAGAGACACAGAAGGAGCUCCUGGGAGCCAGUGGGCUCAUGCUGCUGCUUCCCCCCAAAGUGAGGAGCGAGGACGCAGUGGAGGAGGACGUGUACUGGUUGGCGGCGCUGCUGCAGAUUAAGCAGCUCCUGCAGGCCAAGCCCUUCCGGCCCGCGCUUCCGCUGGUGGUUCUGGUGCCCAGUCCAGGCGGGGACGCUGAGGAGAAGGAAGUGGAAGACGGUCUGAUGCUGCAGGAUUUGGUCUCCGCCAAGCUGAUCUCAGACUACACUGUUGUUGAGAUCCCCGACUCCGUUAAUGACUUGCAAGGCACCACCAAGGUUGCACAGGCUGUGCGGUGGCUGGUCUCCCGCUGCCCCCGUGCCCUUGACCUUUGCUCCCAGACCCUCAUUCAGUACGUGGAGGACGGGGUUAGCCGGGAGUUCAGCAGCCGGUUUUUCCAUGACAGAAGCGAGAGGCGGCGGGGUGGCCUGGCCUCGCAGGAGCCUAGCGCUGUCAUUGAGCUGUUCAACAGCGUGCUGCACUUCCUGGCAUCCGUGGUGUCCUCUGAGCAGCUCUGUGACCUGUCCUGGCCUGUCACCGAGUUUGCCGAGGCAGGGGGCAGCCGACUGCUUCCUCACCUUCACUGGAACGCCCCGGAGCACCUGGCCUGGCUGAAGCAGGCUAUCCUCGGCUUCCAGCUUCCGCAGAUGGACCUCCCGCCUCCGGAGGCGCCCUGGCUCCCGGUGUGCUCCAUGGUCGUCCAGUACGCCUCCCAGAUCCCCAGCUCUCGCCACACGCGGCCCGUUCUGCAGUCCCAGGUGGAGAGCCUGCUCCGCAGCACGUACCGCAGGUGGAAGAGCAGGAGCCUCUCCCCGGGCCAGGGCUCGGGGCCCUCCGUUGCCGAGAUCCCGUGGGACGAUGUCAUCGCCUUGUGCAUCAACCACAAGCUGAGGGACUGGAUACCCCCCAGGCUUCCCGUCACGUCAGAGGCGCUGAGUGAAGAUGGCCAGAUAUGUGUGUAUUUUUUUAAAAAUCAUUUGAAAAAAUAUGACAUUCCUUUGUCGUGGGAACAAGCCAGAAUGCAGACGCAGAAGGAGCUACAGUUGAGUCAGGGCCGUUUGGGGAUAAGGUCUCUGCAUCCUUCUGCAAACGAGCUUCCCACUGCGGUACUUCACGUGCACGGCAGAGGGAGGAGGAGUGCGGAGCGCGGCCGAGAGGGACGGCUUCCCAGCUCGGAGGAUCUGACGCGCGGAGCCUCUGCCCAGGAGCUCCUGGUCCAGUGUCUGUCUAGCAGGCUGCUGCUGGAGAAAGAGGAGAGCACGAGUGCUGUGUCCCUGGUACCCAGGAUGGCGCCUAGCGUUUAGUGGGGACUGGAAAAAUAUAUGUUGGAAGAAUGAAUGAAUGUGUCAUGAUUUCUAAAAGUAGAUUUUUCUAGGUUUGAAGAUCAGCUUCAGCAGUGGGUGUCGGAAGACUCGGGAGCAUUUGCACGGUCAGCUUCCCUUCCCCUCUGUCUUCCUCAGACUCUGGUGUCUCUGCCUCCGACUCUCCCUGGGAUAAAGACGUCUACGCCUGGUAGCCCUCAGCGUGAAAGGACAGGGGAGCAACUGCAUGUGUCAGAGGCAAGAGGCACAUCUCUGACCGAACAGCUGAAGCACCUAGAGAGGCUGAUCCGGAGCUCAAGGGAAGAGGAGGUCGCCUCUGAGCUUCAGCUCUCUGCGCUGCUGGACAUGGUGGACAUUUGAGCAGCUGGACCUGAGAGAGGGAGGGUCUCCCUGGAAGAUUUCCUUUUACUCAAAAUAAUGUUAUUUUCAGAUGCUUGAUGCAUGUUGGAAAUUGAUUAUUAAUCAUGCAAGUAAACCACUGGAAUAUCUAAUGAGGUCUUCCUCAGUUUUCAGAAGGAAAGGCAAUUUCCUCCUGUGUAAUGUCUUUGACACUCUUACCUGUUUCCAUGAGCUCUCUGACUGUCCACUAACACACGCUCUUACAUUUCUGUGUGCACCAGUGGUCAUUUGAGGUCUUAGCAGAAGUUACAGUCCUUGACGUGCCCCAAAUCUUUAGAGCGGGGAUGACUAAGGAGCAGGGAAUCCUGCCCACCGGGCCCGCCCAGCUCACGCCUCCGAGAGCCAACAGGUGUACCGGGUCAACUGUAUCUGUACUUGGCUCUCUGCGGCACGGGCAUGUGCCCGGAUUGGAAGCAGGGGAAGAUAAGGGGGCUGGGGGGAGGAGGGAGCAAAAUUCCCGGGGAGGAAGGCAGGGUACAGCUGAGGAGAGUCUACCGGCCCGGGGGGAGGGGGAGCCUGGAGGCACCGGCUUGGCGGUCUUGCCUGGCGAGGGGAUCGACCAGACCACAGAGACCCUCGCUGCCUUCCCGUGAGUGCUGCGGGAAUCAGCUGUUGGAGGAUGGAGGAGGAGAUCUGGGCACAUUUUAUUUUAAAAAUUGCAUGUGGGGAACGUCAGCAAGACAAGGCCUGAAUCUGGAGAGGGCGUUGCCACAGCCGUCCAGUGAAGGGGAAGGGUCUGAUCUUGACCUGAGUCUGCGACAGCUGGUGUGGGAGAGGCAGCUGAGCCAUGUACAGAGAGAGAGGUGUUCAGAGACGUGGUGAUGCUGGGUCAUGUGUGCAAGUUGGCACUCAGGAUCUCCCUACUGUGUCCUACAUCCCCUAGAUUCUCUGAGAAGCCUCUUUCAUAUCUCAUUCUCUUCAAAUCUCCAUCAUUCCUAGAGAAAUGUUUUCACCGAGGGAAAAAAAGAAGUACUAGGAGCAGAACUUCCUCAUCCUUGUACCACCAAGUCUGCAGGCCCAACCCUACCUCCCCAGAACAAACACUGAUCAGCUUUUACAGGGAUUUCUCCAGUGAUUAACUUCAUGUUUAUCAAUAAAGACUUAGGAGCUCCCACUGUGGUAUAGUGGGUUAUGAAUCUGACUGCAGUGGCUUAGGUUGCUAUGGAGGUACAAGUUCAAUUCCUAGCUCAGCAAAGUGGGUUAAAGGAUCCAGCGUUGCUACAUCUGUGGCAUAGGUCACAGCCACGACUUGGAUUCAGUCCCUGGCCCAGGAAUUUCCAUAUGCCGUGGGUGUAGCUAUUUUAAAAAAAAAAGACUUAAGCAGUGCUAUUUUUAGAUCUACUGAUUUCCAGUGAUAGAAAAUGGGUUACCUCUCAUACCCUGCAAGGUGUGUCACCCACAGCGUGCAUACCACAUUUCCUCUCCCACUAGCCUCGCAAGCAGUUUAAGAUGUUAGCUGAAAUCUGCAUUCAGAGUUCAGUAUGACUAUAUUAAUACUGUUUGCUACUGGUUUAUUUUUUCAUUCUUUGUUAUUUUUUUCUUUUUACAGCUGCACCCGCAGCAUAUGGACGUUCCCAGGCCAGGGGGCAAAUUAGAGCUACAGCUCCAGGCCUAGGCCACAGCCAUGACAACACAGGAUUCAAGAUGCGCCUGUGACCUAUGCAAUAGCUUACGGCAACACUGGAUCCUUAACCCACUGAACAAGGCCAGGGAUUGAACCUGCAUCCUCACAAAGACAACAUCAGGUUCUUAACCUGCUGAGCCACAACGGGAACCCCCCUGGACUGAUUUAUGAUUACAUAUCCUUUAGGCACACCUCUCUGUUUUUCCUGGAGUCAAUUGCCUUGUUUUUCACUUGUUCGGUUUUCUGUGUUCCCUGCCCUGCUUAACCCAGACCUCUCCUCACCAAGUGUCAAGCUCCACUCAGUAUUGUCAUGUGCGUCAGGGGAUGUGCUGGGUUCAUUUUCUUUUGUUCAUGACCCUCUGGGAAACCAUCUUUGUGAUACAGCUUGGAUAUUUCGUGGAUUCCGAGUUACAUUAUUUUUUUCUGCCUUGGUUUGCUUUCUCAUUUUGAUGGAGCUCAUCUUUCAGCAGCCUUCUGAGCUUGCUUAUCUAACAUGUCUUUAUUUCUACCCUUAUAUUAGAUGCCUCAUUUGAAUGGAAAUAGAAUUUUAAAUUGGAACUCUUUCCCCUGUAUUUUUGUUCGUUUUCUGUUGCUGGAAGUUUUUAAGAUCAUCCCUAUCCCUGGUCGUCUCAAAUUUCUCAACAACCUGCCUGAUGUAUUGGUCCCCUCCCCUAGUCCCUAUUUAUUGUGCUGGGCAGACAGUAGCGCUUUUUUCCUGUAGUUAUUGCUGUGUAACCAACCAACCAACCAACCAACCAAAAAACCAACUAUAGCUUAAAUUUGGGAAGGGUAGGCUGGGCAGCUUUCUCUUGGGCAUUCUCAUGCAGCUUCAGACAGGUAUUAGCUGGGACUGUGGUUAUCUAAAGUCUUGACUAGACGGGAUGGAUGUCCAAGAUAGCUCACUUACAAAGUUGGCUGGUGAUGUAGCUAAAGGCUCAGCUGGGGCUUUCAACCUGAGUAUCUAUGUGUGUCUUCACUACGUGUCUUGGCUUCCUUACAGCAAGGUGGCCUCAGAUAGGACUUCUCACGUGGCGUCUCAGGGCUUUAGGUGCAGGUACUCUAGUGAGCAAAAUGCAAGCCCAGCUUUGGAAUCUGUGCAGGAUUACUUCCACUGCACUGAAUUGGUUUCACGCAUCUGGUUAUAGAUUCCAGGGAUGGGACAGAGGUCCUGUUUCUCAAUGGGGAUGAGUGCUAAGACCACAUUGUAGAAGAGCCUGUGAAAUGCGAGCUGUUGCAGGGGUCUUUGGAAAAUGUCUCCGUGCUUUUUAAUCUGGAAAAUUUUCCACAAUUCUGGGAAUUUUUGGAAACUAUUUAAUACAAUCUUCCCUCCACGAUUUCCCUUUGGAACUCCUAAUAUUCAGAUGUUUGACCGCCUAUAUUGAUGCUCCAAUUUUCAUUUCUCUUCAAUUUUUAUUAUCUUUAUCCUUUUAUGCUACUUUCCUAAAAUUUCUGUUUUAUCUCCAUUAUAGUGACUUUAAUGUUAUAGUGACUUUAAAACUGCUCCCAUAUUAUGAUUCUCUAUAUUGUACACCUAUAACUUACAUAAUAUUGUACCCCAACUAUAACUUCAAUAAAAAAGUUUUAAAAAAUGUUUAAA